ACGCUCGACACCUACGGAGGCAGCAGUGGGGAAUAUUGGGCAAUGGGCGCAAGCCUGACCCAGCAACGCCGCGUGAAGGAAGAAGGCUUUCGGGUUGUAAACUUCUUUUGUCAGGGAACAGUAGAAGAGGGUACCUGACGAAUAAGCCACGGCUAACUACGUGCCACAGCGCCGGUAGUAUNGNGGCGNGNGAGAG
rnacentral:rRNA from 1 species